GACCUUAGUUGCCAGCAUUCAGUUGGGCACUCUAAGGUGACUGCCGGCUAAAAGUCGGAGGAAGGUGGGGAUGACGUCAAAUCAUCAUGCCCCUUAUGACCUGGGCUACACACGUGCUACAAUGGGCGGUACAAAGGGUCGCGAACCCGCGAGGGGGAGCCAAUCCCAAAAAGCCGCUCUCAGUUCGGAUUGCAGGCUGCAACUCGCCUGCAUGAAGCCGGAAUCGCUAGUAAUCGCGGAUCAGCAUGCCGCGGUGAAUACGUUCCCGGGCCUU
rnacentral:rRNA from 1 species